GUGCUUAACACAUGCAAGUCGAACGGGUGUAGCAAUACACUCGUGGCGAACGGGUGCGUAACACGUGGACAACCUUCCUUCAGGUGGGGAAUAACCCAGCGAAAGUUGGGCUAAUACCGCAUAACAAAGCGAUGGCACAUGCUGCUGCUUUCAAAGCCGCAAGGCGCCAGAAGAGGGGUCCGCGGCCGAUUAGCUAGUUGGCGAGGUAACGGCUCACCAAGGCAAAGAUCGGUAGCCGGUCUGAGAGGAUGAUCGGCCACACUGGAACUGAGACACGGUCCAG
rnacentral:rRNA from 1 species